rnacentral:tRNA from 1 species
GGUCUGUUGGUCUAGCGGUAUGAUUCUCGCUUAGGGUACACCCUGAAGCUAAGCUUGCGAGAGGUCCCGGGUUCAAUCCCCGGACAGACCC